ensembl:snoRNA
UGCACUGGUGUGGUAACUGCAUACAGCAGUUUAUUCCUGCUGGGGUAUUCAAAGGACAAUGCAAUAGAAAUUCAAUGUCUGGCAUUUUGUGUUUUCUUGGCUUUGUGUGUAUUAAGCUUGGUAUUUAUGUUGAUGUAGUA